rnacentral:rRNA from 1 species
GUAACACGUAGGAACCGUACCCAAGUGAGGGAUAGCACCGGAAACGGUGUCUAAUACCGCAUGUGAUUCUUCGGAUUAAAGCUUCGGCGCUUUUGGGGAACGGCUGCGCAUGAUUAGCUUGUUGGUGAGGUAAAAGCUCACCAAGGCGACGAUCAUUAGCUGGUCUGAGAGGAUGAUCAGCCAGACUGGGACUGAGAACGGCCAGACUCCUACGGGAGGCAGCAGUAGGUAUUUCCACAAUGGACGAAAGUCUGAUGGAGCAACGCCGCGUGCAGGAUGAAGGGUUUCGGCUCGUAAACUGCUUUUAUCUGUGAAGAUUAUGACGGUAGCAGAUGAAUAAGGAUCGGCUAACUCCGUG